CACUUGAUCAAGACUUUUGGGAAAAUGAGGACUGAUGUGGUAGAUUUCCUAAUGGAAACAUUCAUCAUGUUUAAGAACCUCAUUGGAAAGAACGUUUACCCCUUCGACUGGGUGAUCAUGAACAUGGUGCAAAAUAACCAACUGCAUUACAUCAGUUCCAUCACAACUGCAGGAGGAUGCAGGAAGGCUGCUGUGCACGAUUACUUGCUGUUUUGUGGUCAACCUUUCCCAUAAGACUUCAGAGAAGGUUUUUACUUAAUACUGUACCUGUCAGAUUCCCAGAGCUGCAAGUAAAUUGAAGAUACAAAUUAUGUUGUAAAGUG
rnacentral:sRNA from 1 species